ACAACGUGUCAUAAAGUUAUAAGUCAUAAAUAAAAAUUAAGACAAAAUACAAUGAUUGUGAACACGUCGUUAUAAAUUCGUAGUCGUAAAUCACUUAUCAAUCAGCUGAUUGAAAAAACAUAAAURACAAUAUUUGCAAAAAUAAGUAUUUCGCAGUCAAAAURCCAAGGAGAAGUGAAAAUUUUAAAAUAAUGGAUSCGCUCUGCAACAAUCAGGCAUUAAACCUGAUGAUACUUCAGUCAAGCGACGACGAAGAUGCGGACGAAAUUUUUGCAUAUUUUUCAUUGACUUUACUACUUUGUUUAUUAAACACUCGUAGAAGUGUUCAUCUCGGAAUACCAAAGUCAUCCCAAUGGCGACAUAAUGUACUUAGGAACCUUGAUGAUGAUAUGUAUGUGUGUAAAAGUAAUUAAUAAAAAUAAACUUCAGGUGCAUUAAUGCACUUCAGGUAGUUUAAAA